GACGAACGCUGGCGGCGUGCUUAACACAUGCAAGUCGAGCGGUAAGGCCCUUUCGGGGUACGACGAGCGGCGAACGGGUGAGUAACACGUGGGUGACCUGCCCUCCAGCUCUGGGAUAAGCCUGGGAAACCGGGGUCUAAUACUGGAUAUGACUCCAUGACGCAUGUUGUGGGGUGGAAAGCCUUGUGCGGCUGAGGAUGGGCCCGCGGCCUAUCAGCUUGUUGGUGGGGUGANGGCCUACCAAGGCGACGACGGGUAGCCGGCCUGAGAGGGCGACCGGCCACACUGGGACUGAGACACGGCCCAGACUCCUACGGGAGGCAGCAGUGGGGAAUCUUGCGCAAUGGGCGAAAGCCUGACGCAGCGACGCCGCGUGAGGGAUGA
rnacentral:rRNA from 1 species